UCCCUGGUGGCUCAGAGGUUAAAGCGUCUGCUCACUAUGCAGGAGAUCCAGGUUCAAUCCCUGGGUCGGGAA
rnacentral:tRNA from 1 species